UGGACAGAUUAUUGUAUUCGACUGUAUUCACGGCGCGAAACAGGGGAUUACACUGUUUUUAAAUGGAAAGUGAAUCAAUUAACAUAAUAGACUCCC
rnacentral:pre_miRNA from 1 species